CCUACGGGGGGCAGCAGUAGGGAAUCUUCCGCAAUGGACGCAAGUCUGACGGAGCAACGCCGCGUGCGCGAUGAAGGCCUUCGGGUCGUAAAGCUCUGUUGUCAGGGAAGAACAAGUACCGGAGUAACUGCCGGUACCUUGACGGUACCUGACCAGAAAGCCACGGCUAACUACGUGCCAGCAGCCGCGGUAAUACGUAGGUGGCAAGCGUUGUCCGGAAUUAUUGGGCGUAAAGCGCGCGCAGGCGGUCCCUUAAGUCUGAUGUGAAAGCCCCCGGCUUAACCGGGGAGGGUCAGUGGAAUCGGGGGGAUUUGAGUGCAGAAGAGAACAGCGAAUUUCCUCGUGUAGCGGUUAAAUGCGUAGUGAUGUGGAAGAACACCAGUGGCGAAGGCGGCUCUUUGGUCUGUAAAUGACGCUGGGGCGCGAACGCGUGGGGAGCAAACAGGAUUAGAUACCCUUGUAGUC
rnacentral:rRNA from 1 species